rnacentral:rRNA from 1 species
AUGGCAGCACGGAGGCACCGGAUGGCGGGCAAGGGUGAAGGCACAUCGCCUUGGGGCUGCUGUGCUCCACGGCCGGCAUCGGCAUGGCCUCUCCUCCGUCGCUGGUGCUGGAGCUGGAAGCAAGCGCCACCGGGUCAGGUGAGGUCAGGUCAGCUUCCAUCCCUUACCGCCCGCAUGCCCGCCAUGUGCUUGUGCUUAUGCUCGAGAGCCCGCCCUGUCGCGCCCUUGUCCAUCCCUGCAUCCGGCCACAGGAUGGCCGAGACCGCCCUAGGCGCCGCACAAUGGGUGGUGAGCAAGGCGCUAGCCCCCGUCGCGGAUGGCGUGCUGGAGGCUUGGGCGGCCACCAGGACAUUUGGCCUCAACAUUCAGGCCCUCAAAACUGAACUGGAGAAGGUGCAGGCCACGCUCGAAAUAGCUGCCACCAAGGAGCUCCCCGGGAUGGCCACGGAGAAGAUGCUGCAGAAGCUGUGGGACUCGGCGCACAAUGCCGAGGACUUGCUGGACGAGCUGGACUACUUCCGCAUCCACGACGAGCUCCACGGCACGUACGCCGCCGCCGACCAGCACGGCAACGAUGUCCUCCGUGACCUCGCGUGUGAUGCUCGCCACACCAUCAAAGCUUUUGGCAAACUGGUCAACUGUUUCCCAUGGCAGCAUGCUGAGCUCCACCAGAGGUCACAUGGCAAUUCGUUCUCAGCAUCACAAGCCAACCAGGAGGCCAGCAGAUGCAUGUCCAGCCUAGGUAAACUGCUCCUUUCCUCAUGUUCCCCACAUCCACAUGUUCGUGGUGAUGAAGAUCAUGGCAAUAUGCAAGAAACACCGAUGCCUGAGUUUAACAAGGCUGAUUUCUCCCAAAGGAUGAAGGACACUGUAGAACAACUAAAGCUCAUGCGUGAUGAUGUUAAGGAUAUUCUGCAGACUUUGGCCACAGAACUGUCCUAG